rnacentral:misc_RNA from 1 species
AGCCCACCUGCAAGCUUCACUGCGCUUCCUUUCUCUACUCUUGCAUUCAUUCCUCGAUCACAUACUACAAUUUUCCCCUGAACUUUUGAUGAGCUUAGACUCCCCAUAAAGCAAUAUCUACUUCCACAAUCACCAGCAUACACUAAAGGAAGCUUGAAAUCCACUAGCGGCUCACCGGAAUAGAGUGAUACNCCAAAAAUCCUCCCAUCACCCAGCACUACAUCAGCUGGAAACUCCCUAUCAAUAGUGGAAGCACCAACAGUGAGAAUCCAAGGCGCAAUAUUAACAGCCGUAAAGGGAUCUGGACCCGAAUUCCCAGCAGAGCAAGAGACAACAAUACCAUGCUUGGUUGCCCCAAAUGCCCCAAUCGCUAUCGAAUCAUG